rfam:Pseudoalteromonas sp. A601 contig54, whole genome shotgun sequence.
UUUUACUUGUCGGAGUGCCUUGGGUAUUAACUCAAAGGCUGAGAUCGCGAAAGCGGGAUCCGUGAACCUGAUCAGGCUAACACCUGCGUAGGGAACAAGCUGCCUUAAACA